AGGCUUAAUCCCUCUCAGUAGUAGAGGGGGCUCGUGCCCAGCAGUGGGACAGUAUAUAACUUGUGCUCGCAGCACUGCCGUCAUGAAGAAAUUUUUCCGGGAUAAAAGUCCCGCUUUAUAUUUUCCCGGGAUAAUAAGCAGUCUAUGGCACUCAGAAAUAAUUUGCAAAAUCAGUUUUCACACAAACUCUUCAAUUUUAUGUAUUACUUUGUAAAGAUUAGAAAUGCAUGAUAGCCCAUUUGGGAAUGGAACGCUCUGCAGAGACAGAAGUCGGCAAAUUCACAUCUGACUUUAGAGAUACCUGUAUAUUGUUUAUUACUUAUCCUUCAAGUUGGUCCGAAGUGAUAAACAUAUUUUUUCUAUAAGUAAAUACUUGUGUACCAUCAGUAUCAUAUAACUUCAGGUGUUUAACCCGAAUAAUAUAGAUAUCGACUGAAAACAAUUUUACAAAUACGGUGUAUUAUAAUAUUUUUUAUUUACCAGGUCGAUAAUUUAGAGUCGAGAAAGAAAAAAGCAGAAGAAGAGGAAAAACGGCGAAGAAAAGAAAAGAGAAGGCAUCGAGAAAGAAGAGAAUAUGAAGAUGAAUUAGACAGAGCACAUCGCAGAAGUAAACGACGAAAGUACAGAUCAUCUGACGAUGAGGAAUCGGAUUAUGACGGCUCAAGAAAAAAGAAGCGAAAGAAGGAGAAGAAACAUAGCACCAAACCCAAAAAGAAGAGAAGGAGAGAGAACGAAGUAGAAGAAGAAGAAGACAUAACACUCCCACCGAACAUCGACCUGACGAACACGCUCAAAGAGUUGCGUACAGCGUCGCCAACAAAGGACCUAAUGUUCCAAGAUAUAGACCAAAAUAUACAGAACUUUACCCAAGAUUCUACUGACGAAGAAGAUUUCCCUAGAGAGAAACGCAGGAAGCCAAGAAGAGGUGUGAGAGAGUAUAGUGAAGGGGAGUGGUCGAGUGAUAGCGAGGGUGAUUCUAAGUCGUCAGGCAGGGAUUUUUAAGUAGUUAUAGGACAUUGUAGUGUUAUUAUAUUAUGAGACUAACUUCCAACGUCUCAGAACGAUUAUGUAAUUUGAAGUCUAGCGUCGAGUUACUCCUGUUUAUGGAUGGCUUAGGGCACGUCUUUUUUUGGGUUAUAUUAAAAGGAAAAACACAAUUCUGAGCUGACGGUAUAAUUAUAUCGACAAAUUUGUCAAAAGGAGCCAAUGGCCAAACUACAGAUUAAUAUAUUGAAAAUAGACUUCUGAAGCAUAGCUCUGUAAAAUGUUAAUAAAUAGGUAUGUCUACGUAAUUUCUCAACUUUCGUAAAUCAGGGCUUAUUAUGUUACAUUUGGUAAAAAAUAAGAUAUUUACGAUUACAUAUUUAUGUUCUAGUAAUUCACAGUAAAAACUCAAUACAUAAAGCAAAAAUAAAUACGUUAACCAAACCGCAAUAUUGCAGCGACAAAUAUUAAACUAGAGUGAUGUGUAAACAUAUGUAUAACUACAAUGUCAUAGUGCAUAGUGCAAUAUUAUACUACGGUGUAAGUUGGGUUUUAUAUUUGUAAGUUUUAUUUACGUAAGUCACAUACGACAAAUUUACUAAUUAUAAGUAGACAUCUCGGUAAUAUGUUUACAGUAACCAUACCUAAGAUGUUUUCAUUACAUAGAUACGUUGUCCGAGCUCAAUAUUGGCAAGACGAAAGCAAGGUAAUUGUCCGACAUUCAUUUAGUCAACCUCUAACCACUGUCGUGGCUAGUCGGCUUACUAACAUUUCGUAUUUUUAUAAAUAAAAUGCCUUCCUGUGUUUUUAGAUGAUGUAUAAAUUAUACUCCAACUGUGAAUGAAAAAAACGUUUCAUUUCAUACGUUAGUAAAAGUAUGCAAUAUUUAACUUAUUGUUAACUAAUAAAUGCAUUUUAUUCGACUGUCAUGGCGACCAGAGACCAAUAAACUAGAUGGCCACGGGGGUCGACGCUCGGGCCGUAUCUAUGCGAGCUUCUAGGGCUGUACAGGAAUGUGAUUAUAUGCGCUGUUUUUAUGUACAAUUUUGAUAGUCUAUGACGCGUCUAUUUGUAAAACGUCAUUGAACCAUACGUUCCAUUUUUUUGUGACUUACACUUUUUAUAAAAGAUGUGUUAUGAAACGUAAAACUUACGUAAGUAACUUUUAAAAGUAAAACUUACCAAUGUAGUUCUCAUCUAACAAUAUGGUUCCGUGUAGAUAAUGUUAAUGUAAUUAAAUUUACGAGUCCUAGAUGGCGUUAUUUCUUUAAUAAGAUCCUAUGUUUGAAUGAUUUGUGUUAGUAGUAUGCUGAUUUAGUGUAUCAAUAUAAAUGCUCAAAAAUUAUAUUGCAUUGUAACAUAGUUGAAAUGAAAUGAAUACUUAUUUGAAAUGUGUUUGUUGAAAUCCCAACUGAAUUUAUGAAAUGGAAUAUUCUCUUAUAAAAAAAUCAUUUUUACCUAUCCGUAAUAUGUAAAUUUUUAUACCAGACACGAAUGUAACUUUAUAAAAACAAACCACAAAAUUCCCCUUGUAACAUAAUGAUUAUAAAAUUGCAAACUACCGCAAAUUAAAAUGGUCAAUUUUGUGUUAUUAGUGUCAGCAAAGAUUUCGGUGUGAUAAAUGAUUACUACUGAAUAAUUACAAGCCAUGCGUUAGAAAAAAAUAAUUACCGAAAUUAAGAUAUUAAACUGUCAUUCUUAGAGGUUUAGAUUGGCAAGAAAAUUUGUAGAAGACGGCUUCUACAAGCGAUUUUUUACCAAAUAAAUAAUGAUGGGAAGCUGACUUCUGCAAAUUUGGAAUCAUUCAAGACUUGCAGCAAUUUUUAUGUGUAUGGAAAUAUCGAAAUAUUAUCGCUAGAGUUACCGCAUCUGGCAGUACUUGCGCAAUAUCUGCUGAAAGAACUCGCUAGUCUAAACUUGCAGUAGAAAAUGAACAUGAUUUAUGAUCUAUAACGCUAAGAGAAAAUAAAAAUGUAAUUAUCAUUUGAUUGUUUCUUAAUAACAAUGUAUUUGGCCAAUAAGUUAGGAAUUGAAUAUUUGAGAAUUGUGUUACGUGUGAUUUGUGAAUUAAAAUAAUUGAUUUAGGUCCUAAAUAGAUAUCUCAUCGAAAAUCGAUAUUUUAUCACUACAUAUUGUGUAUAGCUAUUAUAUAAAGUGAAUAUGGAAAAUAAAUAUAGUUUCGUAAGA